ensembl:lincRNA 1600012P17Rik RIKEN cDNA 1600012P17 gene
GAGACCUGCCUGCUUCCUCAAGGCUCAGGUGGGCUAUAGAGACACAGAGGCCUGCCUAGACACCUAGCACCUGCUUGCAGCCUGCCAGCAGAGGAGGAUACCCAGAGGCCCACUAGCUGUGAGGCCUGCCUACAGCAGGAGCCACUACUCUGUCCCUCCUUUCAGGUGAUCCCUUCUUGACCUAGAGCCACUAGACAGCCACAGGUGGCACCUGAGCAGGGACCUGAAAACAGAGGACUUGCUGAGAAACAUUGCUUUGGUUGGAGCCUCCACAGAACAAAGUGAAAGCAAAAAGAAAGUAACCAAACAAAAAGAAAAUGCUGCACAGCGGCUGUAGGAGCGAUUGGUCUGUCGGUUGGAAAAGGUCCUUGUUGAAGAUCUUGAUCCUGGUGCAGCUUCUCAUGAUGAAUGUUGAAGAAUUAUGGGCCCUUGAUCCCUCUCAUCCAACUUUAUCACCUGUUGCCCAGGAUGCUUUUGUUUUCCCCACCAUGUAUUCUGGAAACCUGUCCUUGGGCUUACCAGCCUUAGCCCACUUUGAUCAUUCUAUCAAUAUCUCGGGAUGGUGGAAUCUUACUGAAGUCCUUUGUUUUUCUUUUCAUGAAAAUUCCUCUUGUGUAAGACUUAUAUCUUAUGAUAGGUCUGGUGAUUUUGUUCAGGGGUUUGCUCUUCCUCCACCCUAUUUGCAGGGUACCCAACCAUCUCAGCCAUCCACAGCCUUUGGCACUUGUGGGGGAUUGUUGAAUUUUACCAUACCUAUGAAUACUUCUAGAGAGGUACCUUCCUCUAUGGCCCAUCGGUACGAGGAUUGCCCAUGGAUGUGGGCUUCUGAGAAAGAAUCUUUGUUCCCAUUACAGCUGCCCCUCCCUUGGAGAUGGUGCCAGUCCCCAAAAGAGGAAACUUCAUUUAGCGUCUCCUCCAGUCUGACCCUUAAGGCCAGAGACUUUAAGAAUUGGGGAUCAACAGGUACCUCCCUGUUUGCUGAUUGGUUCCUUUGUAAUAAGUAUACUUGUUUGGAUUUUCGCCCAUUUUUGUUUUUAAGAGAUUCCUUUCUUUUUAAUAGCUCCUGUGAAUGGAUUGGUUUUAACUAUAAUGGCUUCUCAGAGAAGGUUGUUCCCCUUUCUCCUGCACCUGUUUGUGUUACUUUUCCUUUUGUGUUUUUAGUUACCAAUUCAUCCCUUGCUGCAGAGGAAGUUAAUUGUAGUAGUGAACCGUGUUUAUUGUCUCCUUGCUGGCACGGAAGUUCUUCGUCAGCAGUUUUGCUCCGUGUCCCAUUUCAGCAUAGGUACAUGAAGGACAUUUUUUCCGAUUAAAACUUGUGGUUCAAUCUCGGGAGACUAGGGAUUUUGGUGUUACAGCCACUAUUGUUUCUACAGUGCUGGAGGAGCAGCUGUCACCAUUGCUAUUAUGCAGAAUGUUGUAACUGGGAAGGCCUUGAAUGAUACAGUUCAUCACAGGGGUUUGUGACCCAGCAGCUAUUGAAUGGUUAUUUACACAGGGCAGUUUUGCCAUUACAGCAACAGAUCAAUCUUUUAGCAGAGGCGGCUGAGACACUUACUAUGUUGACCAACUUUGAUUGUGACCCUAGGUAUCAUUCUCUCUGUUUGACCCCAUUUUCAGUUAAAAACAGUUCUUUCGAACGAAAAAGAUUGACUUCCUUUAUCAAAGAAUGGUGGAACAAUGAGUUUUUUUUUUUUUAAAUUUAUCCCUUAUUGCUAAUUUGUUUACUGUGUAUAUUAAGGUUUUUAGAUCUGGAUUCCUCCUUUUUAGGUAAAAUUUGGAAUAAUGUUAAGAAACUCUUUGACCCAUCCUGGAUUGUUACCUAUGCACUCAUGGGAAGUGUAGUUUUGGGUUUCCUCCUCUUGCUCCGAUGCCUAUUCAGCACAGGCAACAUGUCUUUCAUCAGAAGGACAUCAAUGUCAUGUUGGCCUUCCAGGAUCAACACUUGACUUUCAAGUAUAGGUGAAUGUGUGGCUUGCUCAGUUGAAGCAUGAGACUCAAUAAUGAGUGGAGGGGUUCAGCAACUGAUGGCUAGUUAGUUAAUGAUGGGUAAGAGUCCGCAAGAAUGAACCAAUCUAAGACAGGCACAUUGGCUUUUGUGCUGCCCUCUCCAUAUAUAGGAUAAGGUGAAAAGGUAUAGCCUGUGUCACCUUCCACUUUUUUGUAAAGCCUGCUUUUUAAAACUAAAAAGGGGUAACUGUGGAGCUUUUGCCCUGCCUGCAUUGCAGAAAUUGCCACAUCAGAUGCUCUGGCUUCAAUGCACUUAGUGAAAAUCCCUCAUCAGAAUUGAGAGUUCUGCUUUUGCCUGUUUUAAGUUUUAUCUUCUCUAAAAAAGGGACUAUGUUUGAAAACUGGGAACCUAUGCUAUCAGCUGCCAACAUGAGACAGUCUGGUCAGCAAUAUUGACUUGGAGUGGGUUUUGUGGUUUUCUUCCUUUAUAUUCUGUGUGUGCUAUAAUAAAGUUGAGCCUUGAUCAGAA